UACGUAGGGGGCAAGCGUUGUCCGGAAUCAUUGGGCGUAAAGCGCGUGUAGGCGGCUUGGUAAGUCUGCUCUGAAAGCCCGGGGCUCAACCCCGGGAGGCGGGUGGAUACUGUCAAGCUCGAGUCCGGAAGAGGAGUGUGGAAUUCCUGGUGUAGCGGUGAAAUGCGCAGAUAUCUGGAGGAACACCGGUGGCGAAGGCGGCAUCCUGGACCAACACUGACACUGAGGAGCGAAAGCGUGGGGAGCAAACAGG
rnacentral:rRNA from 1 species